rnacentral:rRNA from 1 species
UACAGGGGGUGCAAACGUUGCUCGGAAUUAUUGGGCGUAAAGCGCACGUAGGCGGUUCGUUAUGUCGGAUGUGAAAGCCCUUGGCUCAACUGAGGAAGUGCAUCCGAAACUGGCGAGCUAGAGUAUGUAAGAGGAUGGCGGAAUUCCCGGUGUAGCAGUGAAAUGCGUAGAGAUCGGGAGGAACAUCUGUGGCGAAGGCGGCCAUCUGGACCAGCACUGACACUGAGGCACGAAAGCGUGGGGAGCAAACAGG